UACGUAGGGUGCAAGCGUUAAUCGGAAUUACUGGGCGUAAAGCGUCCGCAGGUGGCGAUGUAAGUCUGCUGUUAAAGAGUGAGGCUCAACCUCAUAAGAGCAGUGGAAACUACAUAGCUAGAGUGCGGUAGGGGCAGAGGGAAUUCCUGGUGUAGCGGUGAAAUGCGUAGAGAUCAGGAAGAACACCGGUGGCGAAAGCGCUCUGCUAGGCCGCAACUGACACUGAGGGACGAAAGCUAGGGGAGCGAAUGGG
rnacentral:rRNA from 1 species